CCUACGGGAGGCAGCAGUGGGGAAUAUUUCGCAAUGGGCGAAAGCCUGACGCAGCGACGCCGCGUGAGGGAUGAAGGUCUUCGGAUCGUAAACCUCUGUCAGCAGGGAAGAACGGUCACUGUGCUAAUCAGCAGUGAAUUGACGGUACCUGCAAAGGAAGCACCGGCUAACUCCGUGCCAGCAGCCGCGGUAAUACGGAGGGUGCGAGCGUUAAUCGGAAUUACUGGGCGUAAAGCGCUCGUAGGCGGUAUGUCAAGUCAAGGGUGAAAUCCCCGGGCUCAACGUGGGAACUGCCUUUGAAACUGGGAAACUGGAGUGUGUGAGAGGAUAGUGGAAUUCCAGGUGUAGGAGUGAAAUCCGGAGAUAUCUGGAGGAACAUCAGUGGCGAAGGCGACUAUCUGGAACAUAACUGACGCUGAGGAGCGAAAGCGUGGGUAGCAAACAGGAUUAGAUACCCCUGUAGUC
rnacentral:rRNA from 1 species